CUAUCACUUAGCGGCGGACGGGUGAGUAAUGCUUAGGAAUCUGCCUAUUAGUGGGGGACAACAUCUCGAAAGGGAUGCUAAUACCGCAUACGUCCUACGGGAGAAAGCAGGGGAUCACUUGUGACCUUGGCGCUAUAUAGAUGAGCCUAAGUCGGAUUAGCUAGUUGGUGGGGUAAAGGCCUAGCCAAGGCGACGAUCUGUAGCGGGUUCUGAGCAGGAUGAUCCGCCACACUGGGACUGAGACACGGCCCAGACUCCUACGGGAGGCAGCAGUGGGGAAUACUGGACAAUGGGGGGAACCCUGAUCCAGCCAUGCCGCGUGUGUGAAGAAGGCCUUAUGGUUGUAAAGCACUUUAAGCGAGGAGGAGGCUCUUUUGGUUAAUACCCAAGAUGAGUGGACGUUACUCGCAGAAUAAGCACCGGCUAACUCUGUGCCAGCAGCCGCGGUAAUACAGAGGGUGCAAGCGUUAAUCGGAUUUACUGGGCGUAAAGCGCGCGUAGGCGGCCAAUUAAGUCAAAUGUGAAAUCCCCGAGCUUAACUUGGGAAUUGCAUUCGAUACUGGUUGGCUAGAGUGUGGGAGAGGAUGGUAGAAUUCCAGGUGUAGCGGUGAAAUGCGUAGAGAUCUGGAGGAAUACCGAUGGCGAAGGCAGCCAUCUGGCCUAACACUGACGCUGAGGUGCGAAAGCAUGGGGAGCAAACAGGAUUAGAUACCCUGGUAGUCCAUGCCGUAAACGAUGUCUACUAGCCGUUGGGGCCUUUGAGGCUUUAGUGGCGCAGCUAACGCGAUAAGUAGACCGCCUGGGGAGUACGGUCGCAAGACUAAAACUCAAAUGAAUUGACGGGGGCCCGCACAAGCGGUGGAGCAUGUGGUUUAAUUCGAUGCAACGCGAAGAACCUUACCUGGGCCUUGACAUAGUAGAAACUUUCCAGAGAUGGAUUGGUGCCUUCGGGAAUCUACAUACAGGUGCUGCAUGGCUGUCGUCAGCUCGUGUCGUGAGAUGUUGGGUUAAGUCCCGCAACGAGCGCAACCCUUUUCCUUACUUGCCAGCAUUUCGGAUGGGAACUUUAAGGAUACUGCCAGUGACAAACUGGAGGAAGGCGGGGACGACGUCAAGUCAUUCAUGGCCCUUACGGCCAGGGCUACACACGUGCUACAAUGGUCGGUACAAAGGGUUGCUUACUCUAGCGAUAGGAGGUCUAAUCUCAAAAAGCCGACUCGUACUCCGGAUUGAAGUCUGCAACUCGACUCCAUGAAGUCGGAAUCGCUA
rnacentral:rRNA from 1 species